UUAGCUUGCUAAGACUGAUGGCGACCGGCGCACGGGUGCGUAACGCGUAUGCAACUUGCCUCACAGAGGGGGAUAACCCGUCGAAAGACGGACUAAUACCGCGUACACUCUAUGUUGGGCAUCCAAUGUAGAGGAAAUGAAAUUCGCUGUGAGAUAGGCAUGCGUCCCAUUAGCUAGUUGGUGAGGUAACGGCUCACCAAGGCGACGAUGGGUAGGGGAACUGAGAGGUUGAACCCCCACACUGGUACUGAGACACGGACCAGACUCCUACGGGAGGCAGCAGUGAGGAAUAUUGGUCAAUGGGCGAGAGCCUGAACCAGCCAAGUCGCGUGAAGGAUGACUGUCUUAUGGAUUGUAAACUUCUUUUAUACGGGAAUAACAAGAGCCACGUGUGGCUCCCUGCAUGUACCGUAUGAAUAAGCAUCGGCUAACUCCGUGCCAGCAGCCGCGGUAAUACGGAGGAUGCGAGCGUUAUCCGGAUUUAUUGGGUUUAAAGGGUGCGUAGGCGGCCUGUUAAGUCAGCGGUGAAAUCUAGGAGCCUAACUCCUAAAUUGCCAUUGAUACUGGCGGGCUUGAGUGUAGAUGAGGUAGGCGGAAUGCGUGGUGUAGCGGUGGAAUGCAUAGAUAUCACGCAGAACUCCGAUUGCGAAGGCAGCUUACUAAGGUACAACUGACGCUGAAGCACGAAAGCGUGGGUAUCAAACAGGAUUAGAUACCCUGGUAGUCCACGCAGUAAACGAUGAUAACUGGGCGUAUGCGAUAUACAGUAUGCUCCUAA
rnacentral:rRNA from 1 species